rnacentral:rRNA from 1 species
AUUGAACGCUGGCGGCAUGCUUUACAUAUGCAAGUCGAACGGUAACAGUGUUCUUGCUCCUCUGACCAGCGGCGAACGGGUGAGUAAUGCAUCGGAAUGUACCGGGUACUGGGGGAUAACUUCCCGAAACCCGCGUUAAUACCUCAUACGUCCUGAGGGGGAAAGUGGGGGACCUUAAGCCCUCACGUUAUCCGAUCAUCCUAUGUCUGAUUAGCUAGUUGGUGGGGUAAAGGCUCACCAAGGCGUCGAUCAGUAGCGGGUCUGAGAGGAUGAUCCGGCACACUGGAACUGAGACACGGUCGAGACUCCUACGGGAGGCAGCAGUGGGGAAGAUUGGACAAUGGGCGCAAGCCUGAUCCAGCCAUGCCGCGUGUGUGAAGAAGGGCUUCGGGUUGUAAAGGACUUUUAGUGGGGAGGAAAUCCUAGUAGUUAAUAACGGCAUGGUUUGAGGGUACCAAAAGAAUAAGCACAGGCUAACUACGUG